CAAGGAGCGGCUCUCUCAACGAUUCAUUAAAUUUAAGAGUCAAAUAACUUUCAGAAUUAAAUGAAUGAAGGCGAACAUACUUAUAUUAUUUUCAGGGUGGGGGCCGGGGGUUUGAAGAUUUGGCCUAAUUCUUCUAAUUAAUGAAUGGCAUGGCUUGGAAGAUUAGGAUGCUUUGUAAGAUUUUCUUGGAUGAUAAGUGACUGAUGUUACUUAUUCCAAAAACUUAAGCUGAAAAUAAAAAAUAAAUUUAAUCAAUUAAUCAAUAUUUAAUACUCUCCCUCACAUGUUAACUUAAAUUUUUACUUAAUAAGUAAAAUGAGAGGUAAAUUGUGGAGUCAGGAUUCGGUUUGAUACUAUGUUAAAUUAUCACCACUUAUUCCAACAUAAGCCGAUAGAAAAGAAGAAAUUUAAUUAUUUAAUUAAUACUUUAAUCAGAGAAAAUGGUUUGCUUAAGAAAAGAUAUGCAGGUUCUCUUCAUGGUUGCUCUAUAUCAAGUUUGGAAAUGGCUAUCGAGUACUGUGUGUGUGUUUUGACCAAAUGAAUGGUAUCAGGAGUUUAAUCUAAGCAACCCAACCAAUCAAUUGAACAGGUAACAUCAUGCGACAAUUAAUGUUAUCUUUAAUGUAAGGUGUGAGAAGAAGGCAUCCGAUCGAGCUGUGGGCAAAGCUAGAGUUCCUAGAGAUGUUCCAAGUUUCAAAACAGCAAUCCUCCAAAGACAGUACUACCGAGGAAAUUCCCAAAAGAAAUAAAAGAAUUUGUAUAUAUAUUGCGAAAAAUUUCUUCUUCUUCUAUGAUUAACAAAACCCUAAACUUGAAUUUUAUUUUAUUUUUUUUAAAAAAAAACACAUAUCAAACACUUAACUCUGAAAGGAAAAAUAUGCAUAUAUCAUAUGCUUGGAAAAAAAAAGAAGAAGAAGCUUUCCUCACCUUUCUUCUUCGCACUUCAAUAACCUCUAUUAAUUUCAUAAUAGUUCCUUCGAUUCCUGCAAAUGAACAGUGAAAAAUAAAACAAAACAAAAAUACUCAAAUCGUAGAGGAGAGAAAACGAAUCCAGUUAUAAGGAGUAUUAUUGGAGCAAAUGUCCUAUCAAUAACCAUCAAAUUAAAAGUCUGAAAAUUGAAAAGAGUUCACCUUAAUUCAUUCAAAUGCAAAAUCUAGAUCCUGCUAUCAGGUUUGUAGUCAUUUAUCCGCCGAUGCAGCAUCAUCAAGAUUCUCAACUCCAUCAUUUGGCAAAAAAUAAAAAGAAUCAUCAAAUCAUCAAAUCGCCACCACCUUGCAUUGGGAUGUGAAUCUUAAUGAUGCUGCGCCAGCAAAAAACGACUGUGCAUAACAGAGAAGCGCAGGUGAAAGAAAUAGGGGAAGAAGAAAAGGCCAAACCAAAAUAAAAAUAGUAAGAAAAGAAAAGAGCAGUACUGAAAGUGAAGUGAAAGGAAAUAACAUGAUAGAAACAACAAAUAGGUUUACACAAAGUUUGAGCGGACGUGGCGCUCAACGAAUGGUGUGAAACGGUAGCACGACGAGCAGAUGGAACCCUAAUAGAAAAAUAUGAAAACCGCGAAGAGAAAGGAUGAAGUGAAGGUAAAGUUUUUUUUUUUUUUUUUAUGUAGUUAUUAGUUAAAUAAUGUAUUCCGCACGGGCAGAAUAGUUGGAUGAGAUACCCACAAAAAACCAAAAACUCCAACUACUUUUCCUUUUUGUAAUUCUUGGUGUUUGAGCUUGUGGGUCAGAUUUUUCCGGUGGCAUCCUCGACCAUAACCACCGCAAGAAGAUGACGUAGCACCGGAAAAGGAUAUGGGUGAAUGAACGAGACAGAUCGAUCAAGAAAGAUGAAUGGAAAAACACACAAAGAAGAAGAGGAUCUCGGAAUUCAAAAGAAGAUUGCUUUUGAAGAAACAGAAAAGGAAAGGUCAAGAUCUAGUUGCGUUUGAGACGCAAAAACUCUGUGAGAGAGAGAGAGAGAAGAGUAGGUGAGGAAGGGUUUCCUUGAGGUGCUUCGAUAUAUAUACACACAGACGUCAUUUUGUGGGUGUGCUAAGAAAAUAAAUACAAAAAUACGACGUCAUUUUGUAGGAUUCUUAAUAUUUCUUAUGCAUCUCGUUUUGUAGGAUUCUUAUGUCACUGCGGGAUGCAUACAACUUUUGUGCCAUUUAACUUUAAGGCAAGGGUGGUCAUGUUACCUGUAACAUGAGACAGAGAUGGGAAAUAAAUAUUAAUUUUACUUUAAUUUCCACAUUAUUUAUCAAAUUUAUUGCUCUCUUGGACUCUAUUUGCUUUGACCUAAAUUGUUUUUCUUAUCUUUUAGUGUUUAGUACGAUCGAAAAUCAUGGUCAGAUUGAAAAUAUUUUUAGUUAAUUAGUAAAACUUUAUUUAAUUUGAAAUUUCUGUAAAAUUAUUUAUGGUUUUUAAAAUCAUAAACCAUUUUUCGAGUUUGAACUUCUUAUUCUCGACUCAGAGUUUUACUUGUAAAAUAACCUGAUGUGUUAUAGAAUUAACAGGUUGCUAGGCUGUAGAGUGAGAAAUUCGUUAUGAUGAAGUGGUCGAGCGAAUAACUCGUAUUAUCAGGUUUGAUUAGCUUGUAAUUAUCUAUUAAUAUUUUAGUAAUGUCUGUUUGGAAGCUUUGAAUCUAUUAUUGAUGUUAUUUGACACUAUCAAGGAUUUAUUAUUAGUUACAUCAGUUUAACUAUUUUCGCUUUCUGCUAUUUACUUUAAUAAUUAGUGAUGUGUAGUAAAUUCAGUCAGUUAUCAGUAAAUUAGUUUGAAGAUAUUACAGGUAACACUUCAGAGUAGUUAAAUCAAUUGACUUAACUUUGGGGACAUUAUAAUUAGUUCCAGAGCUGAUACUCUACAUACUCUUUUCCAAAAGAGUAAAGAUAUCCAUGAGUUUUAUUUCUUAUGGUUAGAGGCUGGCAGACGAACUAUGAAGUUAAUUAGCAGUUAAUUAAUUAAGUAAUGCUAUAUUUUUAACUUUCUUGUCCAAUUCCAUACAACUUUGUAUAUAUAGUUUUUUUUAUUUUUUGUUUUUUAAAGAGUUUGCUGUUGCAUUUGUCGGUCCAUCUUUAUCCACAUAUACAAAGUUGGAUGGAGUUGGACAAAAAAAUUAAAAAUGUAGCAUUACUCUAAUUAAUUUCACUGAGGUGUUACAGCCAAUCCUACCAAGGAAGGUGUUAAAGGCUUAAAUAGACCAUAUGAAGUACAUUAUGACAUGCUUCCCUAAUAUCUAUAUUACAUCCAUAAAUUUAUAACUAAUAACAAUAUUGCAUAUUAAUGUCUGGAAAGAUAAAUGACCUUUUUACUCAAACUGAGUCCACAAAGACAAUAACCUAUAAUCCUGUGUAUCUAUACUCACUAAGUUAUAGAUCUACACUUUUAUCUUUCUCGCUUAUAAAACAUGUAUUGUUUUAUAGUUAGCCUAUCAAUAGAAGUUGACUUCGAGAAGAACCUUGAGGUAGUUGUGGCCGUUUGCCAUGUUGACAACGAUCUAGUUAACGCUUGAGAACUUAUUACAAGAUUGUUUCGACUACUUAUGGUAAUUAGUAUUUUCUGAGUGAUUUUGUAGACUUUGAGUAUUGAGAUGUGUUUAUGAAUUAAUGUUUAGUUUGGAUAUUCUUUAUUGUUGAAGUGUAUAGUGUAAGGAUUUCAAUUAUUGUAAUUAUUAAUGUCGAUAGAAUGUUAGAAAGUCAUGAGUUUCCACUGCUUAGUAUUCCUUUUUUGAGGAUUAGAGAUCCAUUGGUCUUAUUUCUUGUGAAAUUUGACUAGGAGGCGAAUCCUGAAGUUAAUUAAUUUAUUGGGACGUUACACAACCCCCUCUAAGUGUUUUUUGAGGUUAUUGAAAAAAUUUCAAUUGGUAUUUUCCUGAGUGUGAUCCCUAUCCCUACUGUCAUGGCUCAAUCACAAUCUCUAACUGUCCUUUAAUUUGAUGGUAAUAACUAUGCUUAUAGGAAAGUACGCUUGAGAGCAUUCUCAAGUCCCUAGAUGAAUGAUUUUGGAUCUCCAUUGAGACUAAACCUGCUAUUACUAUAGACUCGUUGUCUAUGGAUGAAUUAAAUGCCUGUAAUUGGAACAAUAAGUGAUUGAAUGCCUUAUUCAUGGUUGUUGCACCAUAAGAACUCAAAAUGAAUUUCUAUCUAUGAAAUUGUUGGAUGCAUGAGUCAUUCUAGAGGUCACUCAUGAAGGUACCAAGAUUGUCAAAAAUUCAAAACUUCAAAUGUUAACAUAAAGAUUUGAGGAAAUUAGGAUGAAGGAUAAUGAGACCUUUGAUGAGUUUUAUUCCCAUUUGAAUGAAAUUGUUAAUUCCAUUUUCAACUUAUGUGAGAAAAUUCUUGAAAAUAGUAUUGUCAGGAAGAUCAUGAGGUCUCUAUUUAAGAAGUUUAGACCUAAAGCGACUGCCAUUGAUCGAGAAGAGUAAAGACUUGGACAUAAUGAAAGUAGAGGAACUUGUAAGAUCUCUUUAGACUUAUGAGUUGACCUUGGCUCAACCUAAGAAAAAGAAUUUGGCUUUAAAAUUUGUGAAGGAAGUGGCCAAUGACUCCUCAUAUGAGGAGUCUACUAAUGAUGCAUAAAGACUUUGCAUUGCUUGACAGGAAAUUUAGAAAGUUCCUCAGACCUAGGCAAGGAAGCAAUUGGAGACUUUUACGAUGUCUGAGAAAUCCAAGGGUGACUAGAGUGGAGCCUCCCAAAGUAAGAAGGACAAGGGUAAGAAAGACAAAAACUCUCAAAGCAUUCAAUGUCAUGAUUUUUAGCUUUGAUCAUAUUUGAGCUAAGUGUCCGAAUUACAAAAAUUCAAAGAUAAGACCAUGAAUGCUACUUUAAGUGAUGAGUCGAAUUCUGAUGACUCAGACAAGCAUGUUGGCAAUAAUGGAAAUUUCAUGAUCUUCACCACCUCUCCAAAGUAAUGGUACGUGAGUCUAAUGAGUAUACCACACCUGAUUUGGAAGAGACAUCUCCGGAUGAUGAUGAAUUGCAAGUAGCUACAACAAGCUUUUUGUAGAAUGUACAAAAUUGAAGUAAAUCAAUAAGAAAUGACUAAAUACACUUAAGCCCCUUUAAAAAAAGCCCAACAAACUAACAAAUGUGACAUUUAAAUACAUCAAACUAUAAUUUUGUUGCAAUUAAGCUACUUUUUUAUUAUUCUUCCACAAAUACCCCCAUAUUUUUUUUGAUAAAAGUAAAAAAAAUUAAUUAAAAAACUAAAAUCAAAAUAUCAAAAUUUCAUUUGUUUAUUUA
rnacentral:precursor_RNA from 1 species